GGGCUACACACGUGCUACAAUGGCGCAUACAAAGAGAAGCGACCUCGCGAGAGCAAGCGGACCUCAUAAAGUGCGUCGUAGUCCGGAUUGGAGUCUGCAACUCGACUCCAUGAAGUCGGAAUCGCUAGUAAUCGUGGAUCAGAAUGCCACGGUGAAUACGUUCCCGGGCCUUGUACACACCGCCCGUCACACCAUGGGAGUGGGUUGCAAAAGAAGUAGGUAGCUUAACCUUCGGGAGGGCGCUUACCACUUUGUGAUUCAUGACUGGGGUGAAGUCGUAACAAGGUAACCGUAGGGGAACCUGCGGUUGGAUCACCUCCUUACCUUAAAGAA
rnacentral:rRNA from 2 species